AGCCGUCGCGGUUAGACGAAGAAUCUAAAUAGAACGAUCGUUUACUAGUUAACGUUGAUUUUUAAAGUAACAUUUUCUUUUUUGUUGGGUGAAAUCAAAAUAAAAAGUUAUAACUUCUAUAAAAAUUUAAAGGAACUAUAAAACUUAGGUUAAAAACCAGGAUUAGAUACCCUGUUAUUCUGAGCUAAACAAAAAUAGGGUAGUAAAAGUUGUUCUUCAAACCCAAAGAUUUUGGCGGCACUUUAUCCAAAUAGAGGAGCUUGCCCUGUAAUCGAUAGUCCUCGUUUUAUCUUGCCCUAUCUUGUAAAGCUUGUAUACCGCCGUUGUCAGAUUACUUUUUAAGAACGUUUUCAAGAAAUAAAAUUUUCUAACUUCAGGUCAAGGUGCAGUUUAUGGUAGGGUAGAGGUGAGCUACAUUUUUUAUUAGAAAGUACGGAUUUUAAGUGGAAUCUUAAAGGAAGGUGGAUUUAUUAGUAAACUAAUUUAAUUAUAAUUAGUUGAAUUAGGUAAUAAAGUGUGCACAUAUCGCCCGUCACUCUCUUCUCAAGAGGAGAUAAGUCGUAACAAA
rnacentral:rRNA from 1 species